CGCGUAGGCGGUUCGUUAAGUCGGAUGUGAAAACUCUGGGCUCAACCCAGAGCCUGCAUCCGAAACUGGCGAGCUAGAGUUCUGGAGGGGGUAGCGGAAUUCCUGGUGUAGCGGUGAAAUGCGUAGAUAUCAGGAGGAACACCGGUGGCGAAGGCGGCUACCUGGACAGAAACUGACGCUGAGGCGCGAAAGCUAGGGGAGCAAACA
rnacentral:rRNA from 1 species